rnacentral:rRNA from 1 species
UACGGAGGAUGCAAGCGUUAUCCGGAAUGAUUGGGCGUAAAGGGUCCGCAGGUGGCCUUGUAAGUCUGCUGUUAAAGAGUGAGGCUUAACCUCAUAAAAGCAGUGGAAACUACAAAGCUAGAGUGCGUUCGGGGUAGCAGGAAUUCCUGGUGUAGCGGUGAAAUGCGUAGAGAUCAGGAAGAACACCGGUGGCGAAAGCGUGCUACUAGGCCGUAACUGACACUGAGGGACGAAAGCUAGGGGAGCGAAUGGG